rnacentral:rRNA from 1 species
AACCAACCGGGAUUGCCUUAGUAACGGCGAGUGAAGCGGCAAAAGCUCAAAUUUGAAAUCUGGUACCUUCGGUGCCCGAGUUGUAAUUUGGAGAGGGCAACUUUGGGGCCGUUCCUUGUCUAUGUUCCUUGGAACAGGACGUCAUAGAGGGUGAGAAUCCCGUGUGGCGAGGAGUGCGGUUCUUUGUAAAGUGCCUUCGAAGAGUCGAGUUGUUUGGGAAUGCAGCUCUAAGUGGGUGGUAAAUUCCAUCUAAAGCUAAAUAUUGGCGAGAGACCGAUAGCGAACAAGUACAGUGAUGGAAAGAUGAAAAGAACUUUGAAAAGAGAGUGAAAAAGUACGUGAAAUUGUUGAAAGGGAAGGGCAUUUGAUCAGACAUGGUGUUUUGUGCCCUCUGCUCCUUGUGGGUAGGGGAAUCUCGCAUUUCACUGGGCCAGCAUCAGUUUUGGUGGCAGGAUAAAUCCAUAGGAAUGUAGCUUGCCUCGGUAAGUAUUAUAGCCUGUGGGAAUACUGCCAGCUGGGACUGAGGACUGCGACGUAAGUCAAGGAUGCUGGCAUAAUGGUUAUAUGCCGCCCGUCUUGAAACACGGACCUCCUGUGUGA